UCAGGACGAACGCUGGCGGCGUGCUUAACACAUGCAAGUCGAACGAUGAAGCCCUUCGGGGUGGAUUAGUGGCGAACGGGUGAGUAACACGUGGGCAAUCUGCCCUUCACUCUGGGACAAGCCCUGGAAACGGGGUCUAAUACCGGAUAACACCUGCCCGGGCAUCCGGGUGGGUUAAAAGCUCCGGCGGUGAAGGAUGAGCCCGCGGCCUAUCAGCUUGUUGGUGAGGUAGUGGCUCACCAAGGCGACGACGGGUAGCCGGCCUGAGAGGGCGACCGGCCACACUGGGACUGAGACACGGCCCAGACUCCUACGGGAGGCAGCAGUGGGGAAUAUUGCACAAUGGGCGAAAGCCUGAUGCAGCGACGCCGCGUGAGGGAUGACGGCCUUCGGGUUGUAAACCUCUUUCAGCAGGGAAGAAGCGAAAGUGACGGUACCUGCAGAAGAAGCGCCGGCUAACUACGUGCCAGCAGCCGCGGUAAUACGUAGGGCGCAAGCGUUGUCCGGAAUUAUUGGGCGUAAAGAGCUCGUAGGCGGCUUGUCACGUCGGGUGUGAAAGCCCGGGGCUUAACCCCGGGUCUGCAUUCGAUACGGGCUAGCUAGAGUGUGGUAGGGGAGAUCGGAAUUCCUGGUGUAGCGGUGAAAUGCGCAGAUAUCAGGAGGAACACCGGUGGCGAAGGCGGAUCUCUGGGCCAUUACUGAC
rnacentral:rRNA from 1 species